rnacentral:rRNA from 1 species
UAGUUCAGCACUAAGUCACUUUGUCUUAAUGGCAAAUGUGAGAUGCAGUGUAUGGAAUGUCAAAUUUCUAGUAUGAGAAAUUAACGAUUUAAGUCCUUCUUAAAUGAGGCCAUUUACCCAAAGAGGGUGCCAGGCCCGUAUAACGUUAAUGAUUACUAGAUGGCAUUUCCUAAGAGUCGUGUUGCUUGAUAGUGCAGCACUAAGUGGGUGGUAAACUCCAUCUAAAACUAAAUAUAACCAUGAGACCGAUAGUAAACAAGUACCGUGAGGGAAAGUUGAAAAGAACUCUGAAUAGAGAGUUAAAUAGUACGUGAAACUGCUUAGAGGUUAAGCCCGAUGAACCUGAAUAUCCGUUAUAGAAAAUUCAUCAUUAUGAUUUUAAUAUUUAUAAUAUUAUAAUAAUGGUGUGCAUUUUUUCUAUAAAUGGACAUUGUAAUCUAUUAACAUGCAAAAAUUUAUCAUAAGAUCAAGAUGCGAAGUUUAUUCAAAUUAUUUUGCUUGCAAUUUAACAUAGAAUAAACGUUCUUGAUUGGAUAAAGUGUUGAUAGAUUUAUUAUAUAUAGUGCUUAAAUAUUUAUAUUUUAUAAUAGCAUAUUAAUCAUUGAUUUUUAUGUUUAUUAUAUGCACUUAUAUGAUUAACAAUGCGAAAGAUUCAGGAUACCUUCGGGACCCGUCUUGAAACACGGACCAAGGAGUCUAACAUAUUUGCAAGUUAUUGGGAAUAAAAACCUAAUAGCGAAAUUAACAUAACUUAUAUAAUGGGAUUAAUUUUUAGCCUAUUUAUAGUCUAUUAAUUCAAUCCCGGGGCGUUCUAUACAGUUAUGUAUAAUAAUAUUUAUAUUAUUUAUACCUCUAACUAGAGCGUACCUUGAGCAUAUAUGCUGUGACCCGAAAGAUGGUGAACUAUACUUGAUCAGGUUGAAGUCAGGGGAAACCCUGAUGGAAGACCGAAACAGUUCUGACGUGCAAAUCGA